rnacentral:rRNA from 1 species
GACGAACGCUGGCGGCGUGCCUAAUACAUGCAAGUCGAGCGCAGGAAACUGACGGAACUCUUCGGAGGGAAGGCAGUGGAAUGAGCGGCGGACGGGUGAGUAACACGUAAGGAACCUGCCUCAAGGAUUGGGAUAACUCCGAGAAAUCGGAGCUAAUACCGGAUAGUUCAACGGACCGCAUGGUCCGCUGAUGAAAGGCGCUUCGGCGUCACCUUGAGAUGGCCUUGCGGUGCAUUAGCUAGUUGGUGGGGUAACGGCCCACCAAGGCGACGAUGCAUAGCGCACCUGGGAGGGUGAUCGGCCACACUGGGACUGAGACACGGCCCAGACUCCUACGGGAGGCAGCAGUAGGGAAUCUUCCACAAUGGACGAAAGUCUGAUGUAGCAACGCCGCGUGAGUGAUGAAGGUUUUCGGAUCGUAAAACUCUGUUGUAAGGGAAGAACACGUACGAGAGGAAAUGCUCGUACCUUGACGGUACCUUACGAGAAAGCCACGGCUAACUACGUGCCAGCAGCCGCCGUAAGAC